CCUACGGGUGGCAGCAGUGAGGAAUAUUGGUCAAUGGACGGAAGUCUGAACCAGCCAAGUAGCGUGCAGGAUGACGGCCCUAUGGGUUGUAAACUGCUUUUGUAUGGGGAUAAAGUUAGGGACGUGUCCCUAUUUGCAGGUACCAUACGAAUAAGGACCGGCUAAUUCCGUGCCAGCAGCCGCGGUAAUACGGAAGGUCCAGGCGUUAUCCGGAUUUAUUGGGUUUAAAGGGAGCGUAGGCUGGAGAUUAAGUGUGUUGUGAAAUGUAGACGCUCAACGUCUGAAUUGCAGCGCAUACUGGUUUCCUUGAGUACGCACAACGUUGGCGGAAUUCGUCGUGUAGCGGUGAAAUGCUUAGAUAUGACGAAGAACUCCGAUUGCGAAGGCAGCUGACGGGAGCGCAACUGACGCUUAAGCUCGAAGGUGCGGGUAUCAAACAGGAUUAGAUACCCCAGUAGUC
rnacentral:rRNA from 1 species